rnacentral:rRNA from 1 species
GACGAACGCUGGCGGCGUGCUUAACACAUGCAAGUCGAACGCUGAAGCUUGGUGCUUGCACUGGGUGGAUGAGUGGCGAACGGGUGAGUAAUACGUGAGUAACCUGCCCUUGACUCUGGGAUAAGCCUGGGAAACUGGGUCUAAUACUGGAUACGACAUGCCACUGCAUGGUGGUGUGUGGAAAGGGGUUUACUGGUUUUGGAUGGGCUCACGGCCUAUCAGCUUGUUGGUGGGGUAAUGGCCUACCAAGGCGACGACGGGUAGCCGGCCUGAGAGGGUGACCGGCCACACUGGGACUGAGACACGGCCCAGACUCCUACUGGAGGCAGCAGUGGGGAAUAUUGCACAAUGGGCGGAAGCCUGAUGCAGCGACGCCGCGUGAGGGAUGACGGCCUUCGGGUUGUAAACCUCUUUCAGCACGGAAGAAGCGAGAGUGACGGUACGUGCAGAAGAAGCGCCGGCUAACUACGUG